GUGCCAGCAGCCGCGGUAAUACAGAGGGUGCGAGCGUUGUCCGGAAUCACUGGGCGUAAAGGGCGCGUAGGCGGCCUGGUAAGUCGGGGGUGAAACGCUGCGGCUCAACCGCAGCACUGCCUUCGAGACUGUCAGGCUUGAGCACGGUAGAGGCUGGUGGAAUUCCCGGUGUAGCGGUGGAAUGCGUAGAGAUCGGGAAGAACAUCGGUGGCGAAGGCGGCCAGCUGGGCCGUUGCUGACGCUGAGGCGCGACAGCGUGGGGAGCAAACAGGAUUAGAUACCCUGGUAGUCCACGCCGUAAACGAUGGGUACUAGGCGUCGGGGGGAGCGACCCCCUCGGUGCCGUCGUUAACACAGUAAGUACCCCGCCUGGGGAGUACGGUCGCAAGACUGAA
rnacentral:rRNA from 1 species